CAUGAUUUAGCCAGCACCCUCAAGCGGAGAGCCCUAUAGUUUGAAACCCCGAAACCAGGUGAGCUACCCCGAGACAGCCUAUGUUAAUUUAGGGCUAACCCGUCUCUGUGGCAAAAGAGUGGGAGGAGCUCCGGGUAGAAGUGAAAAGCCUACCGAACCUGGUGAUAGCUGGUUGCCUAGGAAGUGGAUAGAAGUUCAGCCUCGCAUGCCCCAAAUCAAAGAAGAUAUUAUUAAGAUAAUUAGGGAAAUGUGUGAGAGUUAGUUGAAGGGGGUACAGCCCCUUUAAUAAAGGAUACAACCUUAACAGGAGGAUAAAGAUCAUAAUAUGUAAGAUAUACUGUUCUAGUGGGCUUGAAAGCAGCCACCUAAAUAGAAAGCGUUAAAGCUCGGACAGAAGGAAAUUUAUUAUACUGAUAAAAAAUCUUAAUCCCCUAAUUAUACUAGGCCAACCCAUGCCUACAUGGAAGAGAUUAUGCUAGAAUGAGUAACAGGAGGAUAUGAUCCUCUCCCAGCACAAGUGUAAACCAGAUCGGACAAGCCACUGGAACUUAACGAGCCCAACCCAAGAGGGCAGUGUGGACAACAGAAACUUCAAGAAGACCUCACACUAAUGUAUCGUUAAUCCCACACUGGAGUGCUAUAUUUAAGGGAAAGACUAAAAGAGGGGAAAGGAACUCGGCAAACACAAGCCUCGCCUGUUUACCAAAAACAUCGCCUCCUGCAACUAGACUGAGUAUAGGAGGUCCAGCCUGCCCAGUGACUAUGGGUUCAACGGCCGCGGUAUUUUGACCGUGCAAAGGUAGCGCAAUCACUUGUCUCUUAAAUAGAGACCUGUAUGAAUGGCUAGACGAGGGCUUAACUGUCUCCCCCCUCCGGUCAGUGAAAUUGAUCUAUCCGUGCAGAAGCGGGUAUAAAUACACAAGACGAGAAGACCCUUUGGAGCUUAAGGUACAAACUUAACCACGUUAAACAACUUCAUAGAGAGCAAGAACUUAGUGGCGAUAAGACUUUACCUUCGGUUGGGGCGACCAUGGAGGAGAAACAAGCCUCCAAGUGGGCCGGGCCAAACCCCCUUCCCUAAAGCCAAGAGAUACAUCUCUAGGCCGCAGAACAUCUGACCAAAAAUGAUCCGACUAUAAAGUCGAUCAACGGACCAAGUUACCCAAGGGAUAACAGCGCAAUCCCCUCCCAGAGUCCAUAUCUACGAGGGGGUUUACGACCUCGAUGUUGGAUCAGGACAUCCUAAUGGUGCAGCCGCUAUUAAGGGUUCGUUUGUUCAACGAUUAAAGUCC
rnacentral:rRNA from 1 species